rnacentral:tRNA from 1 species
GGAGUGGUACCCAAGUGGCUCAAGGGGAGCCCCUGCUAAGGGCUUAGCAUCUGAAUAAGGUGGCGAGGGUUCAAAUCCCUCCCACUCCGCCA